GUGCGUCUGCAAUUCGCCAAUGCGGUUUGGUUGGCUGUGCGCCGCUGGCUGCAAUUGUGCAUGCAACUAUUCUAGUUUGCUGUAUGCGUAGCAUGUAAAUAUCUAGUUUGUUGUUUUUGUUUCAGAUUUUUUUUCCUGCCGCGCUGUUGUUCUACUGUCUAGCUGUUUUGUUUUUGUCAUGCUAUUGCUGCACAUCGCAUGCCAUCCAAUCGGCGCUGCUGCUGCUGCAACAAAAUAGUUGCAUAUUUGCGUUCUUGCCAUUCUGGCCAUGUUUUUUAGCCAACAGCCGCUACCAAGCGCUUCAGUCUAUAAGCGACAACGUGUACGAGCGGUCGCGUUCUUAUUCUUUUGCCCGCUAAUAACUAACCAAUACUCAGAAAGUAACCAAGCAGAGAGCCACUGAUUAUCUAGUAGCCUAGCAUAAACGCAGCUUUUGAAUAAACGCAUGCAGUAAAAUAAACACAUAAAUUUCGAAAGAUUUCCGCGCGCUUAAUUUAAAAGGAGUGCUUGCAUAUACUUGCGCUUAGUUUGAAAGUAUUUUAUGCGACGCGUCAGAAUUUCUAUGCUAAGCGAUACAACGCGUUUCACACGCUAGUUGGAGCAGUUGCGUAUUUUAGCUGUUUACAAGUGACCUACAGUUAGGUGCUGCGACAUUUGACCGAUUGCGCGCAUUUACCGCUUUGGCCGCGUUGCUUAGUAAUCAAAUGCUGCAGUGUUACGCUUAGUUAUCCACUUUCGUCGUAAGCGUUUGAAAGCGCUUUGCAAAAACGGCAUUUGUUAUAACUGUAAUUAAAAACAAUAAUUAUAAAAAUAUAACACAAACAAACAAGUCUACUUAGAGCGCUCACCAAACGCCGCUUGACAACCGCUUCCCAACAUUCGCCGCCUAGCAAAUAUAUUCUAACCAUAUUUAAAGUGUCGGAAGAGCACUCAGCCAGCUAUUUCCCCGUGCUGCUUGCGAACGGAAACGGUAAAUGCUACUACGGUUAUGCCAUUGUUGUUUUUCGGCUUUUGACUUGGAAAUCGCGUAGCACACCAAAUGCGCUCCACCUCUUGCUCGCUGCGUAAAUUUGCAACUGCGUGGCUCAUCUCUGCCCGUUUCACGUUUACUAAAGGCGCGUUUGCGUUUAUUAAAUGCUAAAGAGUGUAUGUGAAAAUACUCAAAAAUAACUACAAAAGUAAUUUGUGUUGAAGUGUUUAAGUGAAAUCAACUUUUUGGUGAUUAUUAAAGCAUAUUGUUGUUGUACACAGAAGUUUUGAAUAUAGCUUGGAGCCUAUUAGCGCUUGAUUGCUUCACGCGUCAAAGUGUUGUUGAAAGUGAAGAUUUAUCGCGCUUAAUUAAAUUGUUCGAAAAAUAGACAACAAUAAAAAGACAAACAACAACAAUAACUGUUUUUGAAGACAUAUUGCUUUUGGCGCUGGCUUAAAGUGCAAAAGUAUAAGGAAAAUAGUGCAUAAAAUUUGAAUAAAAUAGUCGUUUGAAUAUAAUAACACUAACGUGAGCUAAGUGAUUUUACUAACAAAAAUACUAACAAAUCAAAUCUUACCAGAAAUAAAAUUAUUUAUUAACCACAAAUAAAAAAGCAAUUGAGUCUCUCCUAAGGAAAAUCCGGAACUGCACACAUAUACGCUGAGAAAAAAUUAAAAAAUAAUACUAAUUUGUAAAAGUAAAUAUUUAAAUAGUGGUCAUUAGACUCGCGUUUAAGAAUUUGUAGAAGUUAUUUCAGAAUAUCUGAAAAAAUUUUCAACGGUUUUGAGCUUCUUAAGUAGAUAACUGGUAUGUGACAUUAAUUUUUGAGUUCCAUUGAUUGGGAAUCAUAUACUGUGACUGGUAAUAAAGGAACUGUGACGACUGUAACUGCGAAAACAGGUAUGCACUGCUAAAAUUUUAAUACUCCCCAUAAGGCAUUAUACAUAUUUAUGUAAGUACAAAUACUUAAUAUAGUAGAUUAAAUACUUAGUAUAGUAUGUCAGCGAGUGUGAAAAAAGUGCUGAAUUUAGAUAAAAUAGCGCUGAUGUAGGAGAUA